rnacentral:rRNA from 1 species
GACGAACGCUGGCGGCGUGCUUAACACAUGCAAGUCGAACGGAAAGGCCCUGCUUUUGUGGGGUGCUCGAGUGGCGAACGGGUGAGUAACACGUGAGUAACCUGCCCUUGACUUUGAGAUAACUUCAGGAAACUGGGGCUAAUACCGGAUAGGAGCUCCUGCUGCAUGGUGGGGGUUGGAAAGUUUCGGCGGUUGGGGAUGGACUCGCGGCUUAUCAGCUUGUUGGUGGGGUAGUGGCUUACCAAGGCUUUGACGGGUAGCCGGCCUGAGAGGGUGACCGGCCACAUUGGGACUGAGAUACGGCCCAGACUCCUACGGGAGGCAGCAGUGGGGAAUAUUGCACAAUGGGCGGAAGCCUGAUGCAGCAACGCCGCGUGCGGGAUGACGGCCUUCGGGUUGUAAACCGCUUUCGCCUGUGACGAAGCGUGAGUGACGGUAAUGGGUAAAGAAGCACCGGCUAACUACGUGCCAGCAGCCGCGGUGAUACGUAGGGUGCGAGCGUUGUCCGGAUUUAUUGGGCGUAAAGGGCUCGUAGGUGGUUGAUCGCGUCGGAAGUGUAAUCUUGGGGCUUAACCCUGAGCGUGCUUUCGAUACGGGUUGACUUGAAGAAGGUAGGGGAAGAUGGAAUUUCCUGGUGGAGCGGGUGGAAUGCGCAGAUAUCAGGAAGGAACACCAGUGGCGAAGGCGGUUCUUCUGGGCCUUUCCUGACGCUGAGGAGCGAAAGCGUGGGGAGCGAACAGGCUUAGAUACCCUGGUAGUCCACGCUGUAAACGGUGGGUACUAGGUGUGGGGUCCAUUCCACGGGUUCCGUGCCGUAGCUAACGCUUUAAGUACCCCGCCUGGGGAGUACGGCCGCAAGGCUAAAACUCAAAGGAAUUGACGGGGCCCCGCACAAGCGGCGGAGCAUGCGGAUUAAUUCGAUGCAACGCGUAGAACCUUACCUGGGUUUGACAUGGAUCGGGAGUGCUCAGAGAUGGGUGUGCCUCUUUUGGGGUCGGUUCACAGGUGGUGCAUGCCUGUCGUCAGCUCGUGUCGUGAGAUGUUGGGUUAAGUCCCGCAACGAGCGCAACCCUUGUUCACUGUUGCCAGCACGUUAUGGUGGGGACUCAGUGGAGACCGCCGGGGUCAACUCGGAGGAAGGUGGGGAUGACGUCAAGUCCUCAUGCCCCUUAUGUCCAGGGCUUCACGCAUGCUACAAUGGCUGGUACAGAGAGUGGCGAGCCUGUGAGGGUGAGCGAAUCUCGGAAAGCCGGUCUCAGUUCGGAUUGGGGUCUGCAACUCGACCUCAUGAAGUCGGAGUCGCUAGUAAUCGCAGAUCAGCAACGCUGCGGUGAAUAAGUUCCCGGGGCU